UACGAACAAUAUUCACUCCAGAGCAGCUAGAGAGACUGGAAGCCGAGUUCGAGAGGCAGCAGUACAUGGUGGGGCCCGAGAGACUGUAUCUAGCUCAUGCUCUACAGCUGACAGAGGCACAGGUAAAAGUCUGGUUCCAGAAUCGGCGCAUAAAAUGGCGGAAACAUCAUUUAGAAGUAACACAGCAAAGACUGGCAGUCUUGCAAAGACACCAGCCUCACGACCGAGACGAUGACAUUUAAACCAAAGUCACUAAACACUCACAAUGGGUGGGCUCUCUAACAAGCAGUCAUAUUGGAAAAUCCCAUAGUGCUUCUGGAAACAGCAAAAGUGCUUAUGGAAUAUAUAGAAGGCUUACUGGAAACAACAAAAGUGGGACUGGAAUUUCUAUUAGUGAGAUUGGGUAGUGGAAAAGUGUAAUGAUAUUUUGGGAUUGUGUAAAUACAGACAACUUAGCUGUGUAUUUGACAAUGAGUGUAUUCGUAAGAAAUACACAAAUGAAGUGAUGUGACUAUAUAAUAUAGGUAGUGGUGAUAAGUGCAAGUUAUUUUAACCGAAAGCGACAAAAUGUAAAGAAAACUAUUUGAAAAAAACGACCCUCAAAAUACUCAAACUUUACUUAACUUUAAGUUGUACUUAAAAGUAUUUGUGUAGCACUUUGAAGUUAUUUUGACUGCAGUAAAAGUGUUAUGCCCAAAAGGAUUUACACUUGACAGUGAUAAUUAUGGAUUGAAUGUGUUUCCAACUUAUGAAUUUCACAAAAUGUGUUGGUUUACACCAAGUUAUGAAGAAGAUACGGUUAUUGUGCAAAGAGAGCAGUUUGUCAUCAUCUGCCUAGCCUUUUUCCAAUUAUGUUGGGGUGGGGUGGCUUUCCAACCAAAUGCCAUUACCAGUGACCACCAAUGGUUAACAAUGAGCGACUGCUCUAUCUGAGUUACCCAGGAACGCAGUUUGUACCUAUUUAUUAAUUUUUUUGCGACCCAAAACUGCUA
rnacentral:misc_RNA from 1 species